GACUCUCGAAAAUGGAUAUCUUAGCUCUCGCAUCGAUGAAGAACAUAGGAAAAUGCGAUACUUGGUGUGAAUUGCAGGAUCCCACGAAUCACUGAGUCUUUGAACGUAAGUUGUGCCCGGAGCCUUCUGGCCAAGGGCAAUUCUUCCUGGGCGUCA